GGCCGACGGGGCUAUCUGCAGUCGUACGCACUGGCCCACUGAUUGAUGGUGCUUGCACCUGAUUGACGAUGGAUCACCAGUGAGUGGCGGACGGGUGAGUAACACGUAGGUAACCUGCCCCGGAGCGGGGGAUAACAUUUGGAAACAGAUGCUAAUACCGCAUAACAACAAAAGCCACAUGGCUUUUGUUUGAAAGAUGGCUUUGGCUAUCACUCUGGGAUGGACCUGCGGUGCAUUAGCUAGUUGGUAAGGUAACGGCUUACCAAGGCGAUGAUGCAUAGCCGAGUUGAGAGACUGAUCGGCCACAAUGGAACUGAGACACGGUCCAUACUCCUACGGGAGGCAGCAGUAGGGAAUCUUCCACAAUGGGCGCAAGCCUGAUGGAGCAACACCGCGUGAGUGAAGAAAGGUUUCGGCUCGUAAAGCUCUGUUGUUGGAGAAGAACGUGCGUGAGAGUAACUGUUCACGCAGUGACGGUAUCCAACCAGAAAGUCACGGCUAACUACGUGCCAGCAGCCGCGGUAAUACGUAGGUGGCAAGCGUUAUCCGGAUUUAUUGGGCGUAAAGCGAGCGCAAGCGGUUGCUUAAGUCUGAUGUGAAAGCCUUCGGCUUAACCGAAGAAGUGCAUCGGAAACCGGGCGACUUGAGUGCAGAAGAAGACAGUGGAACUCCAUGUGUAGCGGUGGAAUGCGUAGAUAUAUGGAAGAACACCAGUGGCGAAGGCGGCUGUCUGGUCUGCAACUGACGCUGAGGCUCGAAAGCAUGGGUAGCGAACAGGAUUAAUCGCGGGGGGAGGCCCAAAAA
rnacentral:rRNA from 2 species